rnacentral:rRNA from 1 species
CAGCCGCCGCGGUAAUACGUAGGUGGCAAGCGUUGUCCGGAAUUAUUGGGCGUAAAGGGCUCGCAGGCGGUUUCUUAAGUCUGAUGUGAAAGCCCUCGGCUCAACCGGGGAGGGCCAUUGGAAACUGGGAAACUUGAGUGCAGAAGAGGAGAGUGGAAUUCCACGUGUAGCGGUGAAAAGCGUAGAGAUGUGGAGGAACACCAGUGGCGAAGGCGACUCUCUGGUCUGUAACUGACGCUGAGGAGCGAAAGCGUGGGGAGCGAACAGGAUUAGAUACCCGCGUAGUCCCUGUCUCUUAUAC